GAGAGAGUUUGAGCACCUGGCCCAACAUCUUAAUAUUAAGAGAGGGGCAUCAGAUCUGAGCCCAGAUCCUUUCUGACUCCACAGCCGCUAUGGAGGACUGCCACAGGACUUCACACCAUUUCCUUCCCAACAUCUCCAGAAUGUUAAAAUGGAGUGUCUAUACCUUCAACACAGUAAAUGCCUUCUUUUCUGGAAGGUCAUUGAGAUGUACCUGGGACCGUACAAGACAGUAACAAGGAGAUAGCUUCUCAGGCCUGGAUCCAGUCUCACCUUUAAGAAAGUAGCAGAGCCCAGGACGGAGUUUUGAGAACAUGUCUAAAGCUAAUGUGGAGGGGCGCCUGGGUGGCGCAGUCGGUUAAGCGUCCGACUUCAGCCCGGUCACGAUCUCGCGGUCUGUGAGUUCGAGCCCCGUGACAGGCUCUGGGCUGAUGGCUCAGAGCCUGGAGCCUGCUUCCGAUUCUGUGUCUCCCUCUCUCUCUGCCCCGCCCCCGUUCAUGCUCUCUCUCUCUCUCUCUCUCUGUCCCAAAAAUAAAAAAAAUAAAAGUUGAAAAAAAAAAUUAAAA
rnacentral:lncRNA from 1 species